GACGAACGCUGGCGGCGUGCUUAACACAUGCCAGUCGUACGGUAAGGCCCUUUCGGGGGUACACGAGUGGCGAACGGGUGAGUAACACGUGAGUAACCUGCCCACAACUUUGGGAUAACGCUAGGAAACUGGUGCUAAUACUGGAUAUGUGCUCCUGCUGCAUGGUGGGGGUUGGAAAGCUCCGGCGGUUGUGGAUGGACUCGCGGCCUAUCAGCUUGUUGGUGGGGUAGUGGCCUACCAAGGCGGCGACGGGUAGCCGGCCUGAGAGGGUGACCGGCCACAUUGGGACUGAGAUACGGCCCAGACUCCUACGGGAGGCAGCAGUGGGGAAUAUUGCACAAUGGGCGCAAGCCUGAUGCAGCAACGCCGCGUGCGGGAUGACGGCCUUCGGGUUGUAAACCGUUUUCAGCAGGGACGAAGCUUUUUGUGACGGUACCUGCAGAAGAAGCACCGGCUAACUACGUG
rnacentral:rRNA from 1 species